rnacentral:rRNA from 1 species
UACGUAGGGGGCAAGCGUUGUCCGGAUUUAUUGGGCGUAAAGAGCGUGUAGGCGGCUUGGUAGGUCUCGCGUCAAAACCUGAGGCUCAACCUCAGUUCGCGUGGGAAACCACCUAGCUAGAGUCCGGAAGAGGAGAACGGAAUUCCCAGUGUAGCGGUGAAAUGUGUAGAUAUUGGGAGGAACACCAGUGGCGAAGGCGGCUCACUGGACUGGUACUGACGCUGAGGCGCGAAAGCGUGGGGAGCAAACGGGG